AGGUAGGCGGAAUAAGUUAAGUAGCGGUGAAAUGCAUAGAUAUAACUUAGAACUCCGAUAGCGAAGGCAGCUUACCAGACUGUAACUGACGCUGAUGCACGAGAGCGUGGGUAGCGAACAGGAUUAGAUACCCUGGUAGUCCACGCCGUAAACGAUGCUCACUGGUUCUGUGCGAUAUAUUGUACGGGAUUAAGCGAAAGUAUUAAGUGAGCCACCUGGGGAGUACGUCGGCAACGAUGAAACUCAAAGGAAUUGACGGGGGCCCGCACAAGCGGAGGAACAUGUGGUUUAAUUCGAUGAUACGCGAGGAACCUUACCUGGGUUUAAAUGGGAAAUGUCGUAUUUGGAAACAGAUAUUCUCUUCGGAGCGUUUUUCAAGGUGCUGCAUGGUUGUCGUCAGCUCGUGCCGUGAGGUGUCGGGUUAAGUCCCAUAACGAGCGCAACCCUUACCGUUAGUUGCUAGCAUGUAAUGAUGAGCACUCUAACGGGACUGCCACCGUAAGGUGAGAGGAAGGCGGGGAUGACGUCAAAUCAGCACGGCCCUUACACCCAGGGCUACACACGUGUUACAAUGGCCGGUACAGAGGGCCGCUACCAGGUGACUGGAUGCCAAUCUCAAAAGCCGGUCGUAGUUCGGAUUGGAGUCUGUAACCCGACUCCAUGAAGUUGGAUUCGCUAGUAAUCGCGCAUCAGCCAUGGCGCGGUGAAUACGUUCCCGGGCCUUGUACACACCGCCCGUCAAGCCAUGGAAGCCGGGGGUGCCUGAAGUCCGUAACCGCGAGGAUCGGCCUAGGGCAAAACUGGUAACUGGGGCUAAGUCGUAACAAGGUAGCCGUACCGGAAGGUGCGGCUG
rnacentral:rRNA from 1 species